GCGGGUAUAGCUCAGUGGUAGAGUAUUUGCUUAGCAAGCAUGAGGUCCUGGGUUCAAUUCCCAAUACUGCCA
rnacentral:tRNA from 1 species